UAAUUGCAGCCAUUAUUCUCUUCUUCAUAACAACAUAAAAACCUAACGAUUUCAUCUUCCACUUCUCCUCUUUCACCCAAUAUAAAUUGAUGUAGCGUUCAAGCUACCACCAGGAAUCUCCUACAUAAAACGAAAUUGAAUACCGCAUGGAACUCAGAAGAACAUAAUUACAUCGAACCUAUCUCUACUCCAUAGAGCUGAAACGUUUCACCUAAGGGAUCUCCUCUCAAAAUCAAAAACUCCAAGCCGAUUGUAACUGAUGCCAGUUUCAUGCCUCUUCUCUUGCCGAUUCCGCCGUCGCCUCCUCCUCCUCAGCUUUGGCCGCGACGUCAGAGAAAUGCGAGAGGUCGUCUGUCAUGUGUUGGAUCACUUGAGAGAGAGGAAGGUCCACAGACUACGACGAGAAGGCAGGCUUACUCCUUCUGUUGGAUCCCCAGCUUACGACGACCUCGACUUUUUUUUAAUUCCACUGCGUUAGUUGAUGAUUAACCUAUUUAUAUUGUGUUGCAGAGAAUUUGAUGGUAACAGGAAUUUGUUGCACGAGAUCACUAGACUUUCACCUAAGGCGAAGACAAACUCUUCAUUAGUUCUCUGGGCAUAUUGCAUUACGAGAAACAACAAAAAGAAUCUAUGGCCUAAAUCACCAAGCAUCUCCUUCUGCUAUCUAUGGACCUAAUUAAUUUAGAAUUAUGCUGAUAAUUAGGAAGAAGUAUACUUGAUAGAGUAAUAUCAAUGUUCAAUAUUUUGUAUGUCUGUGUUUUGUCUAGGAUUAGUCUCUUCAAUUUGUUCAAAGUGCUUCUCUUCAGAUUGAUCAUAUAAUUUGGAAGCUUAAUUAAAUCUAUUAUAUUGGCUCCAUGUUUGAUUAUCUUUUCUCUAGGCACUUCUCUCCCAGGAUGUUCAGUCCAACAUUGCUCCAGCAAGUAGUGAACCUUACGGCAGAACAACAAUACGAGGGACAAGCAACUGGGUUGGACGGUUUCAUUUGACGGAAACUUGCAGCAAUGAACAUGGUUUCUCACACUCAAAUUACCAAAAGAAGAAGAAGAAGCUUCUCUCUCAAAUAUACACUGCAGGAAAGCAUUCUCUGAUGUUUUAAAGUGAUUUCAGUCUAAAACUCUCUUUUUUUUUAUAUUAUCAUCAAAUCUAAUAUGUCUGUUUCACUGCCACAGAGGACAUAAAUUGAUCGGGUCUCCUUUUGGAAAUCUGGAAUACAUGGAUGGGACCUUCCUGCCAGCAGAAUUAUCUAUGAAUGUGGGUUUUGUCUUUUUUUUUUAUAGAGAGGGAAUGAUGAGAGACGGUAUUUUGUUUCAGAUUCUUAAACACAGACUGGAAUAGGUGAGACGUACAAUUUGCAGACCUGAGAGGAAGGGAAAAAAAUGCUAUAUGACUGUUCAAGAUCAGUGAGAAAGUAGUCGUUGAUGCUACAAAUAAAGGGAAUAUAGCUCGGCUUAUCAACCAUUAGUAAGCAGUUCUAUGACAUGGUGUGAAGUUUCACAGUUAGGAGUGAUUGCGUUAAGACCCUUUUAGGAGAUUUUGUUACACUGCAAUAACUCAUUGAGACAAUUUUACUUCUACUCCCACUCUCUCACAAGGUAACACGCUCAGAAGGCAUCUUACUUUGUUCCAUGUAGUAUUUUUUUCAUUAGAAUAUAUGCUUGGUUUCAUCACUCCUCCUUUAAGUGUAAGAUGCAGCGGUUUGUGACGUGCAAUAAUGAUGGUAAACACACACAUGCGUUGUGUGUCGAAUAUUUAAUAAACUUUAGUGAGACUGGUUUUAUGUAAGCUGGAAUUGGUCAAAACCAGAUAAAAGCAAUAAAUAAACACAAGAAGUUAUCAGU